CCAUGGAGAGAAGCUUUGAUCCAAACAUUAUGUUACAGAAUAUUCCUCACCUCUAUCGGCAGAUAAUAUGACUAGGAUUUUUUGUUAGGAUACAAUUAAAUCUUAUUCGUCCAAGGAGGGAGACUUUUCUCUCGUCUUUUUCUUUUUUAAUUCUUGCUCGAAACUCCAAAGUCGCACGACACUAACUGCCACCUGUGCUUGUGUUAAAACGAAAACUUGUCUUUCUUCUCAUUUCCUAAUUUUCAUCGUUGGCUUUUGGUGGCAAGUGGGAAAGCAGGCCAAACAUAGAAUCUUAUUCUGCUCCAUCUUUCACCAAAUAAACACAAAAAUUUAACACACAUUCUGAUCAAACCAACCUUUCCCAUGCCUACGAUGUCCUUCACAAUCACACCUGUUUUUCCCUUCCUUGUUUCUUUCCUCAUCUGCCUCAGCCAAUCCCCUCUCGCCGCCUCAACCACCACCAACGCCACCUAUUUCGAUACCAAGACAGCCUAUGAAAUUCUUAAUUCCUUCAACUUCCCCAUCGGUCUCCUCCCAAAAGGCGUAAAAAGUUUUGAUUUGGACCAAAGCACUGGCCGAUUCCACUCCUAUUUGGACGCGACCUGCAGUUUCUCUCUCGAAGGUUCUUAUCAACUCAGAUAUAAAUCCACGAUCAGCGGCUACAUAUCAAAUAAUAGACUCACUAGCUUGUCUGGCAUAAGCGUCAAAGUGUUAUUUCUGUGGCUCAAUAUUGUGGAGGUUGUUCGGAAUGGAGAUAAUAUUGAGUUCUCUGUUGGGAUUGCUUCGGCUUCAUUCCCGAUUGAUAACUUCUAUGAGAGUCCACAGUGUGGUUGUGGAUUGGAUUGCUUGAAUGGGCAAGUAGACAAGCUUAGAACGAGAUCUUUUGUUUCUUCCAUCUAGUGGAUUUAAUAUGUUCUACAAUUCGAAUGAUGGUCGAAUUCAACCCGGGGUUGGUGUUGAUUAUAUAUGAAAUUGUUGAAGUUUAUAUGGUUUGGCUGGGAUUAAUUUCUUAAUCUAUAUUAUUUUCGGUUUGUUUGCUUAUAUAUGUGUUUGAAAUGCCAUAUAGCUUGCCAUAUAUUAUAUUACUUGAUUAUUGGGGCAUGGCCAAAGAACCUAUGUGGACAAUAAAAGAAGUUUGCAAUUAGUUAGGUAAUGCAGCAGGUAAGCUGGGUGAAUUUGGUAUCGAUUAGAAGAAGAAAUUUGUACUUUGGGAAUGGGUGAAAUAAGUUUGUAAAUUAAAUUGACAUUUUGACUUGAAGGGAGAAAUGAAUCUAAUUGCCUAUAACAGCAGUUCAUACACUAUGUACUGCUGUUCAGUUAGCUCAGUUUAGCAUAAAUUGUUAGGCUAUGCACAACAGUAGCGAAACUCUGAUUGAUUAUGAAAAGUAGUACACUCCGAUGGAAAGGGCUUGCCUGAUAAGUGAUUGUAGAUGUAAAAUCUUCUGAUACAACCCUCCUUGUUAUUGUUCGUUCUUGCCAAGGCAAGAGAAUGAACAACUGGAACUAAGCCUGGACUAGUGAACUCUUGGGUCCAGUCCUUUGAUCAGCACCAACCUCACUCAAACUAUCCUGCAUCUUUCUUUGUGUCCAUCAAGUCCAUUUCUUCAAGUCUACCCAACUGGCUAAUUCAAAUCGACCUUGAGGAGGGAAAGAGAAGUGCCUGAAAGAGCAGCACCAAUUAAAUGAGUGAGAGUUCAGAAAUAGAGAAACCACAAAAGUUUUGUUUGCCUCUGUUUUGCUAAGAGUCUCUUCAUUUUUGUGAAUACAAUCUGUUUAGCAACACUUGCUAAUUCAGAAUAAUAAUUGAAGAGUUAGUCCUUCCUGAACCGGGGAAGCACUGCUACUAUAGCGAAUUUCUUUCUCAAUAUUUCAAGCGAAAAUGAUGUUUGAAUGUUAAGGAUGUUGGGAGACGAAAACCAGAACAAUAGAUGCUCGGCCGACCAUUUAAGGUAAAAAGUCUGGGAGGAUCUUCAAUCUCUGGGAUCAUCAAAAGGUUUUGUGCUGUUAGUCAUCUGCCCAGCAUUUAAUGCAACAAGAUAAAAAUGGUGAUUUAAAAGUUUGGCCUAUGAAGUUGACUCCUCUAGCCAUAGGAGAUAACAAAAUAUAAAUGCUUGCUGAGUCUUGCAGAAGCACUAAGUAGUUCAUACAGAAAUUUAUGUUAAAACUUCCCAAGUUAUAUGUCUUGUUUAGUGCUCAAAUAGAUAUCAUAUUCUGGCUUUACUCUUGUGGUCAAGUUCCAUUUAUAAAUUUGGUUUAAUUUUCCUGAAAUGAUAAAACAUUUAUCAUAUAUGACCCUUCAAGUUGAAACUAUAUUAUUGGUAUGGAUGGUCAUUGAUAUGUUUCUAAUUUAGGCAGAGCAGCAAAGUAUUGCAGGACAGCAAUAAGCAAAGAGCUGAUAAUUUUAGGAGAUCUCCUUUGAAGGAUUCUGGUAAUUAUAUCAUUGCAAAAUUAGUAGUGCUAUUAAGACACUGAAACAACUAUAUGUGCCUAGUUUGUUCAUGAUCUAUUUUACUUUGCUCCCUCCCUUUCUUUUUUA